rnacentral:rRNA from 1 species
GACCAGCUACGGAUCGUCGCCUUGGUGAGUGUUACGAGGCGUCGAGCGGCGGACGGGUGAGCUUGCAUGAGAAUGUGCCCGGGAAGAGCGGAUGCUUGAGGAGACUCAAGCUUGCGGGCAUACGCCCUAUGGGGGAAAGCAGGGGCUCUUCGGGCCUUGCGCUAUCGGAUUAGCUUAUGUGUGAGCCGCUCGUUGGUGAGGUAAUGGCUCACCUCGGCGACGAUCCGCUUCUGUGCGGAGAGGAUGAUCAGCCACAUCGGACUGAGACAGGGCCAGAACUAAUACGGGAGGCAGCAGUGGGGAAUAUUGGACAAUGGGGGCCAACCCUGAUCCAGCCAUGCCGCGUGUGUGAAGAAGGCCCUCGGGUUGUAAAGCACUUUCAGCAGGGAAGAAUGCUUGUCGGUUAAUACCCGACAAGGGAGACAUCACUCGCAGAAGAAGCACCGGCUAACUCCGUGCCAGCAGCCGCGGUAAUACGGAGGGUGCGAGCGUUAAUCGGAAUUACUGGGCGUAAAGCGUGCGUAGGCGGCUUGAUAAGCCGGUUGUGAAAGCCCCGGGCUCAACCUGGGAACGGCAUCCGGAACUGUCAGGCUAGAGUGCAGGAGAGGAAGGUAGAAUUCCCGGUGUAGCGGUGAAAUGCGUAGAGAUCGGGAGGAAUACCAGUGGCGAAGGCGGCCUUCUGGACUGACACUGACGCUGAGGUAGGAAAGCGUGGGUAGCAAACAGGAUUAGAUACCCUGGUAGUCCACGCCGUAAACGAUGUCGACUAGCCGUUGGGGUCCUCGAGACCUUUGUGGCGCAGUUAACGCACUAAG